GAUGAACGCUGGCGGCGUGCCUAAUACAUGCAAGUCGAGCGAACAGAUGAGGAGCUUGCUCCUCUGACGUUAGCGGCGGACGGGUGAGUAACACGUGGAUAACCUACCUAUAAGACUGGGAUAACUUCGGGAAACCGGAGCUAAUACCGGAUAAUAUAUUGAACCGCAAGGUUCAAUAGUGAAAGACGGUUUUGCUGUCACUUAUAGAUGGAUCCGCGCCGCAUUAGCUAGUUGGUAAGGUAACGGCUUACCAAGGCAACGAUGCGUAGCCGACCUGAGAGGGUGAUCGGCCACACUGGAACUGAGACACGGUCCAGACUCCUACGGGAGGCAGCAGUAGGGAAUCUUCCGCAAUGGGCGAAAGCCUGACGGAGCAACGCCGCGUGAGUGAUGAAGGUCUUCGGAUCGUAAAACUCUGUUAUUAGGGAAGAACAAAUGUGUAAGUAACUAUGCACGUCUUGACGGUACCUAAUCAGAAAGCCACGGCUAACUACGUG
rnacentral:rRNA from 1 species